rnacentral:antisense_RNA from 1 species
CUUGAUGGACCCCAGCCAGAGGGGCUCCGCCUCCGCGCGGCCCUGCCCGUAGGUCGCCAGCAGCGCCUGGGCCUC